rnacentral:piRNA from 1 species
CAUGAAUUCCUUGAUGCCUUCGUCC